CCUACGGGAGACAGCAGUGAGGAAUAUUGGUCAAUGGCCGCAGGGCUGAACCAGCCAAGUCGCGUGAGGGAUGACGGUCCUAUGGAUUGUAAACCUCUUUUGUCAGGGAGCAAAGGGCGCCACGUGUGGCGCUUUGCGAGUACCUGAAGAAAAAGCAUCGGCUAACUCCGUGCCAGCAGCCGCGGUAAUACGGAGGAUGCGAGCGUUAUCCGGAUUUAUUGGGUUUAAAGGGUGCGCAGGCGGAAUGUCAAGUCAGCGGUAAAAUUUCGGGGCUCAACCCCGUCGUGCCGUUGAAACUGGCGUUCUUGAGUGAGCGAGAGGUAUGCGGAAUGCGUGGGGUAGCGGUGAAAUGCAUAGAUAUCACGCAGAACUCCGAUUGCGAAGGCAGCAUACCGGCGCUCAACUGACGCUCAUGCACGAAAGCGUGGGUAUCGAACAGGAUUAGAUACCCGAGUAGUC
rnacentral:rRNA from 1 species